AACGAACGCUGGCGGCAUGCCUAACACAUGCAAGUCGAACGAUCCCUUCGGGGAUAGUGGCGCACGGGUGCGUAACGCGUGGGAAUCUGCCCUCAGGUACGGAAUAACUCAGGGAAACUUGAGCUAAUACCGUAUAAUGACUUCGGUCCAAAGAUUUAUCGCCUGGGGAUGAGCCCGCGUCGGAUUAGCUAGUUGGUGAGGUAAAAGCUCACCAAGGCGACGAUCCGUAGCUGGUCUGAGAGGAUGAUCAGCCACACUGGGACUGAGACACGGCCCAGACUCCUACGGGAGGCAGCAGUGGGGAAUAUUGGACAAUGGGCGCAAGCCUGAUCCAGCAAUGCCGCGUGAGUGACGAAGGCCUUAGGGUUGUAAAGCUCUUUUACCCGGGAAGAUAAAUGACUGUACCGGGAGAAUAAGCCCCGGCUAACUCCGUGCCAGCAGCCGCGGUAAUACGGAGGGGGCUAGCGUUGUUCGGAAUUACUGGCGUAAAGCGCACGUAGGCGGUCG
rnacentral:rRNA from 1 species